rnacentral:tRNA from 1 species
UUAAUUGAAGCCAAAGCUAGAGGCAUUUUAUUGUUAAUAAAAAUAUUGAAAUUUCCAAUUAAU